rfam:Beta vulgaris subsp. vulgaris chromosome 1, whole genome shotgun sequence.
AACUCAUGGUGAGAGCAUGAACGACAUCUCCUUGAACCACUCCCAAGCUUCCGCAAGAGUCUCAUCAUUCUCUUUCUCAAAUGAGGAGAUCUUCCUCUUUAUGUU